rnacentral:rRNA from 1 species
AUUAGAUACCCGGGUAGUCCCAGCCCUAAACGAUGCGCGUUAGGUGUAUCGGUGACCACGAGUCACCGAGGUGCCGAAGGGAAACCGUGAAACGUGCCGCCUGGGAAGUACGGUCGCAAGGCUGAAACUUAAGGAAUUGGCGGGGGAGCACCACAACGGGUGGAGCCUGCGGUUUAAUUGGACUCAACGCCGGGAAGCUCACCGGAUAAGACAGCGGAAUGAUUGCCGGGCUGAAGACCCUGCAUGACCAGCUG